GAGUACUUGAUAAAACCUCUUCGUUGGAAUGGUAAGUCAAAGAUUUUAGGUUUCAGUUGUAGAUUUUAAGUCAAAUAUUUUAAGCUUCAGUUGCAUAUACAUAUACCAAUCCAAGUACUUGAAAUUUCUCAAACUUUCCGCUCUUUGUCUCGCCAAUUUCAUGGAAGAUCAAAGACAAUCUCCAUCCCCUCCUUAUGACGUAGUAAUCCUGGAAGCCUCAGGCUUUACAGGCAAAUACGUUGUCAGAGAAGCCCUCAAGUUCCUCAACAUCCCUUCUUCUCCCCUCAAAUCACUUGCACUAGCCGGUCGCAACCCCACUAAAAUAACUCAUGCCCUCAAUUGGGCUUCUCACCCCCAACACUCCUCCUUCGAUCCCUAUCCUCAAAGCCGAUACUAUUGACCCUUCUUCCAUCCGUCAUCUCUGCACCCAAACCAAGCUCAUUCUCAACUGCGUUGGACCCUUUUACCUCAUGGUGAGCCCGUUGUUGCUGCUUGUGCUUAGACUGGGUGUGAUUACUUAGAUAUAUCUGGGGAGCCUGAGUUUAUGGAGAGAAUGGAGAUGAAAUUUCACGAGAAUGCUGUGGAGACUAGUUCUUUGGUGUUUUCGGCACGUGGGUUUGAUUCGAUUCCUGCUGAAUUGGGGUGGAUGUUUAAUUCCAGGCAGUGGGUGUCCCUGGCUAUACCAAACCAAAUUGAGGCCUAUUUGAGCAUGGAGUCAGAGAAAAGGAUUGUUCUGAACUUUGGGACAUAUGAAUUUGCAAUUUUGGGAGUGUCCACCAUGGAAAAGUUGCAGGAUUUGAGGCUUUCAAUACCUAAAAGGGCAAGGCCAGCUGAAGUUGAUAAUAUUGUAUACACUGGUUUUUUAUAUUAUUACUUGUCAAGUUAGGUUUAGUAUUGAGUCUCUUUUAUUUGAAUGUUAUUACUUCAAAUUACACCUCAAAUAACACUCUUUUAUUUGAAGUAAUACUCUUUUAUAUUUAUUAAAUUUAAAAUUUUAGA